rnacentral:rRNA from 1 species
UACGAAGGGGGCUAGCGUUGUUCGGAAUCACUGGGCGUAAAGGGCGCGUAGGCGGCCGAUCAAGUCGGGGGUGAAAGCCUGUGGCUCAACCACAGAAUUGCCUUCGAUACUGUUUGGCUUAAGACCGGAAGAGGUUAGUGGAACUGCGAGUGUAGAGGUGAAAUUCGUAGAUAUUCGCAAGAACACCAGUGGCGAAGGCGGCUGACUGGUCCGGUUCUGACGCUGAGGCGCGAAAGCGUGGGGAGCAAACAGG